UACGUAGGGUGCGAGCGUUAAUCGGAAUUACUGGGCGUAAAGGGUGCGCAGGCGGUUCUGCAAGUCAGGCGUGAAAGCCCCGGGCUUAACCUGGGAAUGGCGCUUGAAACUACAGGACGGGAGUAUGGCAGAGGGAGGUGGAAUUCCACGUGUAGCGGUGAAAUGCGUAGAGAUGUGGAGGAACACCGAUGGCGAAGGGCG
rnacentral:rRNA from 1 species